GACGAACGCUGGCGGCGUGCUUAACACAUGCAAGUCGAGCGGUAAGGCCCUUUCGGGGGUACGACGAGCGGCGAACGGGUGAGUAGCACGUGGGUGACCUGCCCUCAGCUCUGGGAUAAGCCUGGGAAACCGGGUCUAAUACUGGAUAUGACUCCAUGACGCAUGUUGUGGGGUGGAAAGCCUUGUGCGGCUGAGGAUGGGCCCGCGGCCUAUCAGCUUGUUGGUGGGGGGAUGGCCUACCAAGG
rnacentral:rRNA from 1 species